CGGACGGGUGAGUAACACGUUGGAACCUGCCCCAAAGUAAGGGAUAAGCCACCGAAAGGUGGUCUAAUACCUUAUAGUAUCCAUCUCGUAUGGAUUAAAGCUUUAUGCGCUUUGGGAGGGGCCUGCGUUUGAUUAGCUAGUUGGUGAGGUAAAAGCUCACCAAGGCGACGAUCAAUAGCUGGUUUGAGAGGAUGACCAGCCACACUGGGACUGAGAUACGGUCCAGACUCCUACGGGAGGCAGCAGUAAGGAAUCUUCCACAAUGGGGCAACCCUGAUGGAGCAAUACCGCGUGCAGGAUGAAGCGUUUCGGCGUGUAAACUGCUUUUAUCACCGAAGAUUAUGACUGUAGGUGAAGAAUAAGGACCGGCUAACUACGUG
rnacentral:rRNA from 1 species